GUGCCAGCCGCCGCGGUAAUACAGAGGGGGCAAGCGUUGUUCGGAAUUACUGGGCGUAAAGGGCGCGUAGGCGGCCUGCUAAGUCGAACGUGAAAUCCCUGGGCUCAACCCAGGAACUGCGUCCGAUACUGGUUGGCUUGAAUUCGGGAGAGGGAUGUGGAAUUCCAGGUGUAGCGGUGAAAUGCGUAGAUAUCUGGAGGAACACCGGUGGCGAAGGCGGCAUCCUGGACCGAUAUUGACGCUGAUGCGCGAAAGCAAGGGGAGCAAACGGGAUUAGAUACCCCUGUAGUCC
rnacentral:rRNA from 1 species